UUGACCGUUGACCGUUGACCAGAGUUGACCUAAGUCUGACUUCUUAGGGAUAGUCACACUUAGAAGAGAUAAGUAUUAAUGAGUUAUGUAAUGUUAUAGGGAGGUUGUAGCUCGUCGGUUGUGCACGAGUCAUUUCAGGAGUUGCUAGCUUUCAGCAUAUACGAGGUGAGUCUUCUCACUAUACUGUACCCGGAAGGGUUUGACUGUGUGACCGGAAGGUCGGAUAUGUUAUGUGAUAUGUAUGCUAUAUGUGGUAAGUUAAUUGUUAUAUGUGCUAUGUAUGAUAUGUGGGCCGGAAGGCAAUAUGUUAUGGGCCGGAAGGCGAUUAUGUUAUGGGCCGGAAGGCGUUGUAAUGAGGACCGGAAGGUCAGGGCCUGGAAAGGCGUAUGUGCGUAAGUGUAUAUUGGGGAACUCACUAAGCAUUUAUGCUUACAGUUGUUGUGCAUGUAUUUCAGGUACUAGCGAGGACCGUGGGAAGGCGCCGGCAUGAUCGAUACACACUGAAGAUUGUUUUAUGAUCUUGGGAGUUUGAAUAAUUGUAUUGACCGAAUAAUUAAACUGUUUAUGCCUUGUUUUUAAUGGAAAUAAUUAUGUUUUAAAAAUGAAAAAUUUGUUUGAAAAAUUUGAGUUGUUACAAUUGGUAUCAGAGCCUUGGUUUGAGGGAUUCGGGUGCACCUUCGGGGGUAACUGAACUCAAACCGAGGAUUUGAGGAAACUUUUCAAAUAAAGGCAUAAACUUUUGUAAAUGGUUUUGUGGUAAGCAAGAAAGAAGCAGUGUGUACGAUCAGUCAGCGCCCGAACGGUAAAGAUCCCCAAAAUACCUUACAAUAUUAUAUGAUAUGAAUUGUUAUGCAUGCUAGAAGACUAGGUAUUCAUGAUAGGACUAGAGUGGCCUGAUUUGUGAUGCCUUAGUCUAGGGAAGUUGCCUAUAUGAGAUGCUUUGCUAGUAUGCGGGUAGAUAGAGCGUAUCAGAAGUAGAGUACUCACUAUCUGGAGUUUGGGGAGGAGGACUUGGGAUGAACAUUGAUGCGGUGUGGUCGGUAGUAUUGGGCCCGUACUACCGAGGACACCGGGUCAGUGGGAGGCCCAAGUAAGAAUCCCUGGAUAUCUGGGACUGAGUAGGGUUGCGUGUCGAGUACGAUUAUACUCGGUAGAAUCUCUGAUAGUUUUAUGUUGUAUUUCAGAGAUAUCAUGGUUAGACCGCGGCACGGGGCAAGUACGAGCGGUGUGAGUGACGAGGAUAUUCGUCAGAUGAUCCACGAGGAGGUGGCGGCGGCGAUCCGGGCUGAGAUCCCGGAGAUGUUUGGGUCUAUCAAGACCACCCUGAUGGAGACGUUCGACGAGCGGUACGCCGCAUUGACUGAGGCUGCAACCGCUGCAGCUACCGCAGCUGUGGCCGCUGCUAGGCCACAGGGGGGUGAUUCAUUGCUGUUCCGAGAGUUCAGCAACACGAAGCCACCAGAGUUCGAUGGGACGCAGGAUCCGAUUGCUGCGAUGAGGUGGAUCGCAGAUAUAGAGGGGUGCUUCUAUACUUGUUCAUGCCCGGAGCACCUGAGGGUACGGUUCGCUUUGAACCAGCUCCGUCUGGGAGCGAAGGACUGGUGGAAGUUCGUGACAGCGAAUUUCACUUUGGCAGAGACUACAGCGGUGACAUGGGAGGGGUUUACUGCCAUGUUCAGGGAUGAGUACGUUCCCCCGGUGGAGAGGGAACGAUUGGUGCAGGAGUUCUUAACCCUCAAGCAGGGUACCGAUUCUGUUGCGGUGAUUACACGGAAGUUUCAUGAGAGGGCGAUGUUUUGCCCUGAGCUGGUGUCCUCAGAGCAGGCUCGGAUGAGCCGAUACUUGGGUGUCUUGAGGAGGGAUAUUCGGGAGUUUGUGUCAAACUCCACUUACCAUACUUUUGCUGAGCUUCAGGCGAAUGCCAGGAAGCGCGAGAUCGAGUUGGAGACCCAGGCUAGGGAGGAGGCCGAGUCUCAGCGGGUGGAUCGGCGACCGGCUCAGUUCCAGCCGGCAGCCAAGCGGGCCAAGUCCGCUGAUUCGAGGACAGGAGGUUCGAAGGGUCGCACUUGCGGGAAGUGCGGCAAGAGUCAUGAUGGAGUAUGUCGAUCUGGUGCUUGCUACAAGUGUGGCAAGGAGGGGCACAUUGCUAGGGAGUGCCCCAAGGGAUUUUCGGUUUGCUUUCAUUGCAACCAGACUGGCCAUAGGAAGGCCGAGUGCCCUCAGCUUCUUCAGGGAUCUGCACCUGCUGCCGGAGUUACUGCGACUCGACCGGUGAAGGCCGAGGCCCCGAGGGCUCGGGGAAGAGCCUUUCAGCUGACUGCGGAAGAGGUCCGCGCUGCGCCCGAUGUUGUGGCAGGUAUGUUGUAAUUCAUGUAAUUAUUUUAAUGUCGAUAUGUUAUGCUUAUGUUAUUAUGCGCGUAGGUACUUUCCUUGUGAACUCUGUGCCUGCCUUAGUGUUAUUUGACUCGGGUGCGAGUAGGUCCUUUGUGUCCUUGGCCUUUAGUCAGCAUAUUGGCGUUAGUCGUGAGUCGUUGAGUCGACCUUUGAGAGUCUCUAUAGCUGACGAGAAGGUGAUUUGUGCUACGGAGGUUCUUCGGGGAUGUGUACUAGAGAUUUUCGGGGUUGGAUUCCCGAUUGAUCUGAUUCCUAUCGCGAUGGGGGAUGUCUGUGUCAUCGUGGGCAUGGACUGGCUGAGCCGGUUCGGCGCUGUCAUCGACUGUGAGCGUCAGUUGGUGACUAUACGAGACCCUAGAGGGGGAGUUCUUUCGGUAUACGGCGAGGGUACCCGUUCGGGAUCAGCUUUUUGUUCGGCCGCUAGGGCGAGGCAGUGUCUACGUCAGGGCUGUAAGGGUUUCGUGGCGUAUGUGAUGGAUACGCGGGAGGUUUCUGAGAAACCGAAGUCAGUUGAGGAAGUUCCGGUGGUGCGCGAGUUUUCAGAUGUCUUUCCCGAGGAGUUGCCGGGAGUACCGCCUGUGAGGCAAGUAGAGUUUAGUAUCGAUCUGGUUCCGGGGGCAGCGCCUAUUGCCAAAGUGCCCUAUCGUCUUGCACCUCCAGAGAUGCAAGAGUUGUCCUCGCAACUCCAGGAGUUGCUGGGAAAGGGAUUCAUUCGGCCGAGCAGCUCGCCAUGGGGAGCACCUAUUCUGUUCGUCAAAAAGAAGGAUGGUUCACACCGGAUGUGCAUUGAUUACCGGGAGUUGAACAAGCUAACGGUCAAGAACCGUUACCCGUUGCCGAGGAUCGAUGAUUUAUUCGAUCAGUUGCAGGGAGCAUCUUGGUUUUCCAAGAUCGAUCUGAGGUCAGGAUACCAUCAGGUGAGAGUACGGGAUGAAGACGUCCAGAAGACAGCGUUUAGGACGCGAUAUGGGCAUUAUGAGUUUGUGGUGAUGCCUUUUGGACUCACCAAUGCCCCGGCUGUGUUCAUGGAUCUCAUGAACAGGGUAUGCAGGCCGAUGUUGGAUCGGUCGGUGAUCGUAUUUAUCGACGACAUUCUGGUGUAUUCGAGAUCGAGAGAGCAGCAUGAGGAGCAUUUGAGGGAGGUCCUUGAGGUAUUGAGGUCGGAGAAACUUUAUGCAAAGUUCUCCAAAUGUGACUUCUGGUUGCGGGAAGUCCAGUUUCUAGGACAUGUGGUUAAUCAGAAAGGGAUAUUGGUCGAUCCGGCCAAGGUUGAGGCGGUGAUGAGUUGGGAGGUGCCGAAGUCACCCUCUGAGAUCAGAAGUUUCCUUGGGUUGGCAGGGUAUUAUCGGAGAUUUAUCAAGGAUUUCUCCAAGAUCGCAGUGCCACUCACCAGAUUGACCCGGAAGGGUGUUGCAUUCUCAUGGGGGCCCGAGCAGCAGACCUCCUUUGAGACACUUCGCCAGAGAUUGUGCGAAGCCCCGGUAUUAGCUCUUCCAGAAGGGAUGGAAGAUUUCGUGGUAUAUUGCGACGCAUCGAUUUCGGGAUUGGGUGCAGUGUUAAUGCAGAGGGGUCAUGUGAUAGCUUAUGCGUCGAGGCAGCUGAAGCCUCAUGAGGCGAGAUAUCCCACGCAUGAUUUAGAGUUGGGGGCAGUAGUGUUCGCUCUCAAGAUUUGGCGUCACUACUUGUAUGGGGUUCGAUGUACGAUAUACACGGACCAUAAGAGUUUGAAGUAUUUGAUGGAUCAACCCAACCUAAAUAUGCGUCAGAGGAGGUGGUUGGAUGUGGUCAAGGAUUAUGAUUGUGAGAUCCUGUACCACCCAGGCAAGGCUAAUGUGGUAGCCGAUGCAUUGAGCCGCAGGGCGGAGAGCACUCCAUUGCGAGACGUAUGCUUGAGACUGACUGUGAUGACUCCAGUAUUGGACGCUAUUCGUGGGGCCCAGGCGGAGGCUGUGCGACCAGAAAUGCAGAAGAAAGAGCGGGUUGUGGGGUUAAUCUCAGAGUUUGUCAAGGAUAGUCGAGGCCUUAUGACGUUUCAGGGUCGGAUUUGGGUACCGUUCGUGGGCGGUACGCGUAUUACGUUGAUGGAAGAGGCUCAUAGAUCGAAAUUCUCGAUCCAUCCCGGUGCUACAAAGAUGUAUUUGGAUUUAAGGAAGGAAUAUUGGUGGCCCUGUAUGAAGAGGGACGUGGCAUGGUUCGUUGAGAGGUGCUUGACCUGCCGUAGGGUUAAGGCUGAGCACCAGAGACCGCAUGGCAAGUUACAGCCAUUGGAGAUCCCCGAGUGGAAGUGGGAACAGAUUACUAUGGAUUUUAUCACCAAAUUGCCGAGGACUGCUAGGGGAGUUGACGCAAUUUGGGUGAUCGUGGAUAGGUUGACAAAGAGUGCACACUUCCUUGCCAUCAGUGAGAGUUCUUCGGCGGAGAAAUUGGCGGAGAUAUACGUGAGAGAGGUGGUAUCUCGGCACGGGGUGCCGAUCUCGAUUGUGUCAGACCGUGAUGUGCGCUUUACUUCCAGAUUCUGGAAGAAAUUCCAUGAGGAGCUGGGUACUAAAUUGCAUUUUAGUACCGCAUACCAUCCCCAGACAGACGGUCAGAGCGAGCGGACAAUUCAGACACUGGAGGACAUGCUCCGAGCGUGUGUGUUAGACUUCGGGGGUAGUUGGGAUGCGUAUUUACCAUUGGCAGAGUUUUCCUACAACAACAGCCAUCAUUCGAGCAUUGGUAUGCCGCCUUUCGAGCUGUUGUAUGGUAGGAGGUGUCGGACUCCCAUUUGCUGGGGAGAGGUGGGACAGAGAGUGAUGGGCAGCACGGAGAUCAUACUCCAGACGACAGAGCAGAUUCAGCAAGUGAGACAAAGGUUAUUGACUGCCCAGAGCCGACAGAAGAGUUAUGCAGACAGGCGCCGAUCCGAGCUUGAAUUUCAAGUCGGCGACUUCGUUCUCCUGAAGGUCUCUCCUUGGAAAGGAGUGAUUCGGUUCAGGAAGAGAGGCAAGUUGGGGCCCCGGUAUAUUGGGCCAUUUCGUGUGAUUGCAAGGAUAGGUCGGGUAGCCUACCGGUUGGAGUUGCCAGCGGAGUUGGGUCAGAUCCAUGACACUUUUCAUGUGUCGCAGUUGAGGAAGUGCAUAGCCGAUGAGUCGGCAGUGGUUCCAUUGGAGGAUAUUCAGGUGGAUGCGAGCCUGAAUUACGCGGAGAGACCAGUGGCUAUCAGGGAUCGGAAGAUCAAGGUUCUGAGGAACAAGGAAGUACCUCUGGUGUUGGUUCAAUGGCAACACCGUAAGGGAUCAGAAAUGACUUGGGAACCGGAGCGCGAAAUGCGGGAGCAGCAUCCGGAACUAUUUGCAGAGUGAGACUUCGAGGGCGAAGUCUAAUCCAAGUGGGGGAGAGUUGUAACAGCCCGGAAUCUCAGGUAUUAUUAAAAUUAUGUUUUUGGGGUGAUUUAAGAGGGGACUCGGCGAGUUGGAGCCUAGACUCGCCGAGUAGGAUCGCAGACUUGGUCGCGGGAUCGCGACGGGACUCGACGAGUCCAGGUAUGGACUCGGCGAGUCGACGCUGUUCAGCAGAAACCCUAACCGUUCAGUUUGAAUCGUAUAUAACGCCUCUUAGGCCGUCAUUUUCAGUCUUUUGGUCGAUUGAGAAGAACCCUAAUCGCUGUGGACGUCUAGAGCAGGAGAGAAAGCUUUUGGAACUUGGAAGAAUUGGUUAGACAAGAAGAAGAAGAAAUUGGUCAAAGGAAUAUCAAGGAGGAUCGAGUCCUGAGGUUUGGGGGACACAGAGAGAACGUUCUCAGGUAAUACUCGGAUCAAUUAUGUUAGUUAAUGUGCCUAUGAACCUAGGGUUUAUGAAAAACCCAUUUAGUGAUUAGAUGGGUUAUUAUGUUAUUACCCAGAUGUUAUACCCACAGUAAAGAGAUGUUUAGACGUCCAGAGGGUCCCAUGGUUGUAUAUCUUGGGACCAUACGUAAUUCAGGAAGCAGUUACUCGUCUGCAUGGCAUGGACUCGCCGAGUUGUUCUUCAGACUCGGCGAGUAGCUUGAAGAUUUACUGGGACUCGCCGAGUUGUUCUUCAGACUCGGCGAGUGGAGUCGGGGUGGCCCCGCGAUUCUUCCAGGAGUAACUCGUCGGGUCGAGGAGGGUACUCGACGAGUAGAUAAGGAAUCUCAGAAAGUUGGAAGACGUCUAGACUCGCCGAGUCGCCAUGGUACUCGCCGAGUCCGGUCGAGCUGACCGUUGACCGUUGACCAGAGUUGACCUAAGUCUGACUUCUUAGGGAUAGUCACACUUAGAAGAGAUAAGUAUUAAUGAGUUAUGUAAUGUUAUAGGGAGGUUGUAGCUCGUCGGUUGUGCACGAGUCAUUUCAGGAGUUGCUAGCUUUCAGCAUAUACGAGGUGAGUCUUCUCACUAUACUGUACCCGGAAGGGUUUGACUGUGUGACCGGAAGGUCGGAUAUGUUAUGUGAUAUGUAUGCUAUAUGUGGUAAGUUAAUUGUUAUAUGUGCUAUGUAUGAUGUGUGGGCCGGAAGGCAAUAUGUUAUGGGCCGGAAGGCGAUUAUGUGAUGGGCCGGAAGGCGUUGUAUUGAGGACCGGAAGGUCAGGGCCUGGAAAGGCGUAUGUGUGUAAGUGUAUAUUGGGGAACUCACUAAGCAUUUAUGCUUACAGUUGUUGUGCAUGUAUUUCAGGUACUAGCGAGGACCGUGGGAAGGCGCCGGCAUGAUCGAUACACAC
rnacentral:lncRNA from 1 species